AAAUUUAACCGAUACCUGUUUCGGCCUGCACUUGUCAAAACGAGAGAAAUCCUCGAAGCGACACUCGCGAGUGCGUCUCGAUCCACAAUACGUCCUCGGACCACCCCGCAGUGUCCCACAAGCGUACUGGCCAGUCUCGAGGAUUGCUGUACGGUGACCAGCGACGGAGCGCAAUCAGAAGAUGCUAACAACACCGACGGAGUCCAGCGACGACAAGCGUUGCGGCGGCGAAGUCCGGGAGGAGCACGCGAGAUCACGAACCGCGGUGUACCUCGCGGAGCACCGGUGCCUCGUCGUAGCGGCAGCACUGGGUCAAGAGCGUCGUCCGUCACGGGAACGUCGUGGUCAGCAGCCGCGCCGGCUUGUGUCUCCGGGGUCGCGUCCGCCGGUGACCUGUCCGUGGUGCGUGCGGGAGCAAGAAAGAAGACGCGCACACGCGGUCGCGCGCGCACCACUGAUGAGCGGGGGGAGACCCUCCUGACGUCAAGGGGCGCGCCGCUCUCCUCGCGUGGCGCGCACACACGAACAUACACACGCGCGCAUACACACACACACACACACGGGAGCGCGCACUUCCAAUCCCGAGCGGCGCCCGCGAGCCUCUGUGUGCGCGGCGGCGACGCCGGCUUCUACCUGGCCCGGUGUGUGCGAGCAGGGGCGAGGGCGUCAAUGAGCGAGAGUGAGCGCGCGCGAGCUUCCGAAUGCGGCUGCUGCUGCUCGGAGCGGCGGAGGAGGUCGCCGCUGCUGCCGAUGCAACGCAGUUGAAGAAGCAUGUACGCCCGGCGGCUCUUAAUGCUCGUCCCAUGGUAGGCACUCGCCCCGAAGGUCUCUAUACACAGCCGGGCUUCGUCGCCCUGAAGGCGCAACAUUCGCCUCAACUUGGUGGGCCCUUAUAUAUGGAAAUUCCCUUGCUGUAUAUGCAGAGGUGCUCGAAUUUAACCGACCCGUUAAUGUCUGAACGGGACUAGAAACGCAAUGACUCAUGUCAAUGAUGGUGUCUCGCACGGGUUCGUUUUCCUUCGGGUGCCUACUCCUUGCACUGGCAGGGAAAGCAAAAUUCAUCGGGACUCGUGUGCCAACUAUCGAGAGCCUCUAUAAUUGAUUAACAAUACUUGUGCCUUUACCGGGCACAUAUAAGAGGGGGGGGGGGGGGGGGAGGUGAGGGGUUGCUUCGGUGAGGUGAGCAGGUUUAAAAACGUCUAAAUGUAUGGCAGCGGAAAAACUUAAAAACAAGAACAUAAAAUUGUGUACGUCGUCUCUGCUUUCGUCCUGUCCUCCACACUGUUUUUAUCCCCUUCGUCAUGAACCAACCAGCCUAAUUCAGCACACUCCUACAUAAAAUUGAUGUCGCUCUAGAACUGAAACGUAACUGUUGUAUUAUGCAUAGUUUAUGUAGCCAGCCCUUCAGCUGCGCCGACAUGUUGCACGAAUAUCUGGUACCAGGAUCGCAGAGCCAGAAUAAUAGCUUUUGGACAUAACCGCCAUUAAGGUUAGUGACGUUAGUUUCCGGCGAAGAGACACAGUCAGAGUUGAAUUAUGGCUAUAACGUAACUUGGCACAAAAACGAGUGCCCAGAACAAGUAGCUGACAUGUGAGUGUAUACCAAGCAGUUGUUUCGAGCCUCGUAGGGCGCUUCGUACAAGUGCGUCGACAACGCGACAGACAGGGCGCAGUCUGUUCUCACUCGUACUAUAGUUAAACCGCAUUUCGAACUCGACGAUACCGUUGGACUGCGCAAUGCUCGGAAAAGCCGUGGUUUACGGUCUAUUAAGCCCAGCGCGGAGAUGCUAGGGCAAUGUAGAUGAACAAAAUGUCUUUAGCAAAAUAUGGAUGAGGCGAUUGCCUUUAUUGGAACCUCGUCGCCUUUUUUGGCUUUGCAUCAUUACGGCUUUUUCGAAUGGUAAUCUCAGUGUACAUUGGUAGUGCUUAAUAAGGUGUUACGAUAAUAAGCGGAUUUUGUAGCUAUUAUCUGGCCUUCUUAUCGCCAUUGAAGCAGUCACCUUGUUAUAGGAAAGUUUCAUAUCUGCCUUAUAGCACCUAUGGGCAUCUGCUGGAGCACUCCGAAACGGCCAGUCGAAUAAGCAACUGCAUGCAACUAAACAAUAGCGAGGCAAAGUCGCUCACUAUAACUAAUUUUGUUUAUUUUUGCUUCGCUUACUAGGAAUGUUCAAAAUGCUGCUGACAAAAGUUCCAACACGCAAGAUAGUCCGAAAGGUAGCUGCCGUCAAUCGUACUUCACACAGCGGUAUAGUUUAGAGGGUAUACGGCUUUCUUCUUCGUGCCACAUGUCCGCUGGUUCUGCCCGCAGCCCUGACGGCCGUAUUCUGAUGGGAAGCG